rnacentral:tRNA from 1 species
AGCCUCAUAGCUCAGUCGGUAAAGGAUCUGCCUGCAAUGCAGGAGACCCAGGUUCGAUUUCUGGGUCAGGAUG